rnacentral:lncRNA from 1 species
UUUUUUUUUUUUUCCGUCAAGAGUUGAUAUUAUUACUAAAAGGGCCAAGCCCAGAAUUACAACAAAAAAGCCCAAGGUCCACCAAACGAAACCCUAGAGAAAACUAAAAACGGUGCCUCCGUUCGCUCACGGCGUGCCCCCGUUUCCAGCCGUCCCCGGUGAUCAAACCGACGAUCCACCGGAAGAACCGUAACUCACUGGCUUCCAAGCCUCAUCGCCGCAAACACUUCCAACCGCGAGUUCCCAAUAGUGGAUAGAUCAAUCGGUAAACCGAGAUCUCAUCCGCCUCCUUUCGUCACCGGAACUGGGAAGAAAGCUUCGCCGGCAGAACCACACCUUCAACAACGGAGAACUUCGAACGGCUUCCGACGCGAACUCCUCCAACUAGACCAAACUGAAACCGCAAAAACCAGAGAUAAAAACAAAACCCUAACAAACCUAGGGGACUAAAAGCCGGCGGCGCAAGGCAAAGACCGCCUUCACCCCCCGGAAACCCAAGCCGGCGAAAGCGGAGCUAACGAAGCCUCCGCCUCCCGGAAACUAGACCGGCGGCGAUGGAUCUGAAGGAGCCUCCACCUCCCGGGAAACCCUAAUCUGACAAACCGACAUCACCCCACCUCACCCUUCACCCAGUCGCGUCGUUACUCCAGCCACCGCGCCACCAUGUGGAUCUGUUCACUCCCCGAGUUGACCACUCCGGUUUGGAACUGGACAGAGCUCCGACAAAAUGAAUAGGAAGAGGAGGUGAAAAGGAAGUCGGGAAACGAUUUUAACCUAAAGAAAAUGGGCUCCGGCGACGGCACGAACGCUCACGCGCCGGCCGUACGCCGGACCCAAAACCAGAUCUGCUUUCUCUCUCUGCUUUCUCUCUCUAUGCUCUCUCACUGCGGUUGUUU